AGCCCACCAAGUUCUUCCUCCUCCGAAGGGAAACGGGAAGGAAAGGAGGAGAUUCUCUUCUCGGAGGCUUCAAACCCAGAAACCAUUUCCUCUCGAUCUUCGAUUUCAAUUUGGAAGAGAAAUCCAAAGAAUCGAAGAACAGCCUCAUCCAUUAAUCUUUCUUAUUCUGAGGGAUGGGUGUGAGCAGCCGUUGUUCCCAUACUUCACACAUCACCGAAAUCAUAAUCACCAGCUUCUUCCGCCAUAAGUCUUAGAUUACCCCCCAACAACACAGACCCACUGGCUAAUCUUCUCCGUUUUCUUGAUGGCUGUUUGAAACAGGGAAUAGUUUCUUUAUAUUUAGGGCUAUGGCGGGUCGGAGGGUAUACGGCGGCGGUGACGACGGUGGUAGUAUAAGCGGUGUUUCUUCCAAUCAUAGUGUUUUGCUUCAGAAUCGUGGAGGGUCUUUUGCUUCUGAGCCUCUUAGUGCUCUGUUCCUUUCUGGGUCAUCUUCUUCUACUUCCCCUUCUCUGCUUGAUUGUUCUGGUAUAGGUUCAAGAUCCAUGAUGAGUUUCGAAGAUAUUCGUGGAGGAAACGGAUCGAAUCAAUCGUUCUUUUGCCCGUUGGAUAAUGAAGAUAAUGGGGAUGAAGACUUGGAUGAUUACUUCCAUCACCCUGAAAAAAAGAGGCGGUUAUCAGCUGAUCAAGUCCGGUUCCUCGAGAAAAGUUUCGAGACCGAGAACAAGCUCGAACCGGAGAGGAAAGUUCAGCUAGCCAAGGACCUCGGGCUGCAGCCUCGUCAGGUUGCUAUAUGGUUUCAAAAUCGCCGAGCACGGUGGAAAACUAAACAGCUGGAGAAGGACUAUGAAGCUCUUCAAUCCAGCUAUGGAAACCUUAAGGCUGACUAUGAAAACCUACUGAAGGAGAAGGAUUCAUUGAAGGCUGAGAUUGUUGUCCUGACAGACAAACUGAUACUCAAAGACAAAGAAAGGAGCAACUCUGUGGUGUCUGAAGAUGACAAAUUUGGUGAAGAACCACCACAAAAUUUGGUUGAUGAAGCCUCCAAAUCUUCAAAGCUGGGUUGUAAGCAGGAGGAUAUGAGUUCAGUCAAAAGUGAUAUAUUUGAUUCAGAUAGCCCACACUACACUGAUGGGGUUCACUCUUCACUCCUAGACCCCGGAGAUUCGUCCUACAUUUUCGAUCCCGAUCAGUCCGACUUAUCGCAAGACGAAGAAGAUAACUUGGGAAAGAAUCUUUUGCCUCCUUGCAUCUUCCCAAAGCUCGAAGAUGUCGAUUACUCUGACCCGCCCACAAGUUCUUGUAAUUUUGUAUUCCCCAUUGAAGACAAUGCCCUUUGGUCCUGGUCUUAGAGAGUCUUUUUCUAUGUCGUGCUUGUUUUUCUUGUAAUAAAUCCAAGCAAUGGUAGCCCACACCCACGUGUCGAGCCUAAUCGAGCCUAGCCGAGCCAGGGCUUUGGCUUGCUCUUUCUUGACCUUAAUUCAUGGCUUUUUGCUUACAAAUCAGAGCAAGCAAAUGGGUAAGAGGCAAAAUGAUGAGAAGAAAAGGCUAAAACUUUACUGAAAUGGUGUUUUAUGAAGCAAUGUAAUGAAGAAAAGGGAGUUGACUUUUAUCAUAUGCCAUUAAUGGGUAGCUUGCAGAAUCAUCAUGUCACUAAUAAAGUUUCUUGUUCUGGUGGGGAUUCUUCUUCUUCUUUUCCUUGAAGCUGUUGGUAGUCAACUUCAAGAUCCAAGCUUUGCUAUUAGACAUACCUUUUGAA